rnacentral:rRNA from 1 species
AUUGAACGCUGGCGGAAUGCUUUACACAUGCAAGUCGAGCGGCAGCACGGGGGCAACCCUGGUGGCGAGCGGCGAACGGGUGAGUAAUACAUCGGAACAUGCCCAGUCGUGGGGGAUAACACUUCGAAAGAAGUGCUAAUACCGCAUACGUCCUGAGGGAGAAAGCGGGGGAUCUUCGGACCUCGCGCGAUUGGAGUGGCCGAUGUCAGAUUAGCUAGUUGGUGGGGUAAAGGCCUACCAAGGCAACGAUCUGUAGCUGGUCUGAGAGGAUGAUCAGCCACACGUGGACUGAGACACGGCCCAGCCUCCUACGGGAGGCAGCAGUGGGGAAUUUUGGACAAUGGUGGCAACCCUGAUCCAGCCAUUCCGCGUGAGUGAAGAAGGCCUUCGGGUUGUAAAGCUCUUUCGGCAGGAACGAAACGGCGAGCUCUAACAUAGCUUGCUAAUGACGGUACCUGAAGAAGAAGCACCGGCUAACUACGUGCCAGCCGCCGCAGUAACAC